rnacentral:rRNA from 1 species
GAUGAACGCUGGCGGCGUGCCUAAUACAUGCAAGUCGAACGCACACCUUCGGGUGUGAGUGGCGGACGGCUGAGGAACACGUGGGUAACCUGCCCCGCAGUGGGGGAUAACACGUCGAAAGAUGUGCUAAUCCCGCAUACGAUCCUUCGGGAGGAAAGCAGCAAUGCGCUGCGGGAGGGGCCUGCGGCCCAUCAGGUAGUUGGUGUGGUAACGGCGCACCAAGCCAAUGACGGGUACCUGGUCUGAGAGGACGACCAGGCAGACUGGGACUGAGACACGGCCCAGACUCCUACGGGAGGCAGCAGCAAGGAAUUUUCGGCAAUGGGCGAGAGCCUGACCGAGCAACGCCGCGUGCAGGAUGACGGCCUUCGGGUUGUAAACUGCUUUUGGAUGGGACGAUAAUGACGGUACCAUCCGAAUAAGCCCCGGCUAACUCCGUG